rnacentral:lncRNA from 1 species
GGGCUAAAACUUUGAGUUUUUAACAGUCAAUUUGAUGGUUUCCUUUAAGUGAAGAUCUGGUGCAAUAGAAAUGAUAUAUUGGGUACUUAAAUUCAAAAAUUACAGAAUGAGGGUUUGUUUACUAUUAAAUCAAAAGUGGAGACUAAUGCUACAAUUUUCACUAGAUGCUAUAAUAGAUUGAUUGACGUCCGAAGAACGUUCAACCAAAAGAACGAGUCACAAUGUGAAUUGUAAGCCCUCUUGUCUAGUAACAAGGUUUUUGGACUAGAGCACAAAUUCUAGCCUACCUUAG